UCAGGAUCCAAUUGAUGCAGCUAAGCUGCUCAAGGAUAACCUUUCUCUCCAGGACAAAUAUGUACCUCUGUGGGAGGACAUAGUCAAACAAAAUGCCCUGGCUGUCGUCCGUCAAAGAGAAGGGGAUGCCUCAGACAGGACAGACGUGCUGGGGGAAUAAAUCCAGCAGUUUGGUAAAUAUAAGGGGCGGUGGCUUUUGGAAAACGCUACAUAAUCAACCUCAUCAAGCACACAGAGAAGAGGCUGCAGGAGUGUUUAUGACUGAGGGGCACAGCAAGGCCAGCUUGUUGUCCUUUUGUGGGUUAUGUCCGCAGCUUUGAUGAAAUCCACUCUUUUAUGUUAUGAGUCGGGAAAACCCCACAGCUUGAGCAGCCUCAGAGGAUGACCAGCGGGAGGUGUGGGACAGCAGGGCUGAUGACUAUGCAGCCUUCAUCAUUAAGUGUUUUUCAGGGACUCAGAUGUACAGACUGCAGCAGUACCUGAGAAAGAAUCUGUCUCCUCUCCACCAGUUCUUGCCUCAAAUGCACCUGAUGAAGCCAUAAUUAGGGUUUUUUCAGUAUGCACAAAAUGUGUUUGUGUGUUGUUUUUUUUUUGUACCUGUAUUAAUUUACUUCAAAACACAACUCAGUCAUGGAACAUGUGCUUUUAACCAAAAUAAUUAUUUCAGUUUGUGUCACAGUGAUGGAUGAUGAUGAGGAGCUGGAGAAAGCAAUGCAGAACAUACCACCCACCAAGGAACUGGUACAGUGUUUCUGCUGCUCCAUCAUCAUCACUUGCUGUACCAGGAUGAGCCACAGGAAUGAAAACAGGUUUUCUGGUCCUUCUGUUGUUGUUCCCCCACCGACACUCAGACUAGCCCCUCAUACAUCUGAGACACCACACACUGGGCCUUCUGCUUUUGUUGCCCACCGCUGUGGCCUGGGUCCCACCAUAUGCUCAAACCAGGAAACACCCUUUCAUUAUGGCAUCCCUCCACAGCCAGAACUCACUAACACUGUCAGCGCUCUCAUCCCGCAAUGUCUUUCAGUUCCAUCCAUUUUUUUAUUUGGAAACAAGAGAGUGAUAUCAUGGUGAGACUGAGAAAUAAUUACAUACUCCCAUGUCUUCAUGGUUGUCCAAAGCCAAAUAUAGUCUCAGGCGGUGUUGGUAGGCCUCGAGUGAUUGUUGGCACCAGGGAACAAUACUACAUCUUUGCUUCAUGCCUUUGCUACAGUAUGUGCAAGCAGAUCUGGUUUGCUGACAGUCCUCUGUGACAGGAUAAACAACCAAAGCGGUUCACAAACAUUCUGCCAGCAUUCCUAACUUACAAGAAGGUCAUUUGCAAGUCUGCGCUUCAUGAGCUAAGGCGCACCACGCCUGCAAAAGCUCAAGGAUGCUUAUCAGUUCUGUGGAAUUCAGCCACCAAAUCCUACAAAACAGCACAUCAGAGAGCACUGUAGGACCAGAAUUCCAUAGCCAACAGAACUGGUUGACAGAGUGGAGAAAGUUUUUCGGCAUUUCCACCUGACCAUAGACCCAAAUAUCUUACCGCUCUUCAAACCAUCCAUGCUGAAGACAUGGUGUAUCCUCUGGAGAUGCACAUUCUCCGUGGGUGCCUAAGUGACCCUGAGGUCACAGAGGGAAUCCUGUACAGGUAUAGGGGAACUCUGCAGCUUAAUCAUGUACCUGGUGAGUGCCCAGAAGUCCCCAUCUGGAUUCCAGUCAGAGGGACCUCACAGCAGGAGGGGUAUCAUUUUCACAAAUCCCAGUGGAUUACAGGAACUCAUGUGUCCUGUGAAUUGUUCCAGGCCCAGGGCAUGACAGCGCUGGCAUGAUGGAACUACCAAAGACUUCUGGACUUUAAGCAGCCAGAUGUAAUCCUCCCACAUGUGUUCGAUCCAUUACUGAUACCUGAGCUAACCUCUGCUUCAAAGAGAGUGAUAGUGACACGGGAGAGUGGUUUGGCCUAGCCAGAGAGGUGAAGUACAGGGUACUUCUCUUUUCAAGUCAGAGUGCCGUCAAGUUCAACUUGACUGGAACAAACAUAGGGUGCAAAGGAAAGAUGAUUACUCUGUUCUUGUGCCUCUCCCCCCUGGCCCAACACCAUCCACAAACCCGGCACCACCCGGUGCAUCCAUCCACAAGCUACAGAUGUUGUUCCAAGGAAGCAUGGACCCUCUAGCUGAAAUGGGUUUAUUGUUCCAGAAACCUCAAAUACCACACCCCUGCCAUUGCAGUUCUCGCCAAGGAGUGCCCGCACUGGAUCUAUCAAGACUAGUGGACGAGUAUUUGUCUUGGACCACAAACACUGGACAUCAUCAAUGAAGAAGGCUAUCGAUGGCCUCCUAGACAAUUACCAUUGACAGACAGACAUGUUGAAGCUUGUGGAUCAAGACUAUGCAGCUAUGGUCCAUCGGUCUGCCACAGAUCCAAACAGUCUACUUCACCCCACAACCAACUACCAUAUAACACAGUACAUAAAACACCUGGCUAAACAGGUGAACACAAGCCUAUCACUGAACACCAGUCCAGACACAAAAACUGUGGCAAAGUUUAACUGAGUGAAGUGAUACUGUCCAUAUCCCAGUUGUAGAACUGCCACCAGCCAUUGUGAAUCCAGCAGAUCCGGUCUCAAAGCCAGCAUCUGAAAAGCCACUAACACAGGAGAGUGUACAGAAAAUGGUACAGGACAUAUUGCUACAUCAGCAGGAGCAGCAGCAACAAAAACCCAGACAGACAAAAAAAAUUCUCUUGUGUGUACAGCCAAAAUCCCACUACCAAAGUGACGGAUCAUCAAUUCAUCACUUUUAUCAACAAGGACCCAUUAGAUAUUACUACUGCUCCACAAAGGUGUUUAAAACCUAUUAGGCAGAGGGGCCUGACAAAUCCUAGAAUACCCUUUGAAGAGUUUGAACAGACUUCUUUCAGUGUGAACUGCAAUUAAUAAAGCGCAGAGUGGAGGACAAAGAGAAAAAGAAGAGGAAAUCCCAGACUCUACCUCAGGGAAGAAUGUGCCGUUUUUGUCGCACAGAGUUAAAGCAGGGCUCAAACAGCAAACAUAUUCACACAGGGAGUGCCAGGAAAAUACCUUAACUGCCCAGCUAAAGUCCUUGCCUUAUACAAAGACAGAAGCAUGAGAAAGGAAAUAACAUGGAGGGAAUUUCAAGCAUCAUCAUUCUGAGAUUUUAUGCAUACACUUGAUAAAUUUCAUAUUUUAAUCAUCUGUUGUUUUCAUGUUGCACCAUUCUGUUGCUCCAUCCAUUCCUUUCAAUUACAUACACAUUUUAAUCAGUCAUUGUUUUUAUGUUGUUCACAUCCUGUCCUUAACAUAACAUCCAUCCUAGCAUAUGAGAUCUAAGUGGAGCAUAUUCUGGUAAAUUGCAGCUGAAUGUAAAUUGUGUACUGAUUAAUCUAAUUGAUCUUGUUCUUUUUCUCUUGUGUAGGAUCUGUAUAUCAUAACCGAGUUGUUACUCAUUAUAAACUUCUUUUUAUAGCUGCUUCUUUGUAGUCCCUGUUGUUUAGCUCAGUAUUCUUCUUCUUCUUCUUGUUCCACCACAUUUCCACAACUUCUGCCCUGCCCUGUCCCAUUGCUUUGCAGCAGCUACAAUUUCUCUAGUUAUACUUGUUUUUUAAAAACUUGUUUAUACUUGUUUUAGCACUCUCUAAAUUCCACUGAAGGCACAUGUUUGAGUAGAUUUAAUAAAACAUUGAUUUUAAGUAAAGGACUUGU